AUGCAUUAUUUCUCCUGGCUGCUGCUGUGUGAAGAAGGACAUGUUUGCUUCCCCUUCUGCCAUGAUUGUAAGAUUCCUGAGGCUUCCCCAUCCCUGAAGAAUUGUAAGUCAAUUAAACGUCUUUCCUGGCUGGGCAUGGUGGCUCAUGCCUGUAAUCAUAGCACUUUGGGGGUCCUAAGUGGGCAGAUUGCCAGAGUUCAGGAGUUCGAGACCAGCCUGGGCAACAUGAAGAAACCCCAUCUCUAUUAAAAAUACAAAAAAAUUAGACAGCAUGUGCCUGUAGUCCUAGCUACUCAGGAGGCUAAAGAAUAAGAAUUGCUUGAACCUGGGAGGCAGAGGUUGCAGUGAGGCAAGAUUGCAUACUGCACUACAGCCUGAGUGACAGAGCAAGACUGUCUCAAAAAAAAUCCUUUUUCUUUUCUCAAUUACCCAGUCUUGGUUAUGUCUUUAUUAACAGCAUAAGAAUAUAUUAAUACCUUGUCCUUCCACUUACUCUAACUGGGGAUAUAAAACUAACAUAAAGAAAUUAUCUGAGACCUCUCAAGAGUGUAACUAGGCUUUAUUGAAAGAAAGAUACACUGAGAGUUGACUUUUUUUAUCCCCUUUGGUUGAAAGAUAAAUGUUUUAGAAUCUGACAGACUUCAAUUUGAAUCCUGGCUCUGAUAUUUAUUUGCUAUAUUAUCUUAAUCUCCAGGAAUCUUACCAGGUUCUCAAAGUGAAAAUCUAGGAAAUAUCUCCUUACAUCCUACCAUGGGAGGGCAAGAGUAAUCCUUUUAAAAUACAGAGAACAUCCCUUGUAGGAAAAGCCUAAUCUUCAAUGAAAAAGACUUUAGCAGAGUCUUGCUUUAGAGCUUCUUGCCCCAGGGCUGUGAUAGAAGGCCAUCUCUCUUAUUCUAGCUCUUCUAGCUUUUCUGUUUUACUUAAUGGGUUGUGGGGACACUAUACAAGAGGAAACUCUCAUGAAACUCAUUGACUAGUGAAAUAGGUCCACUGAAAAACAGACGGAAUUGGCUACAGAGUGCUCCUUCCCUUCCAUGUUUCAUUGUCACAACUACCAGAUUCAAGUGCAGUAAGAGUAAAUUACAGCUGAAAGACAAAGACUAAGUAGGUGUACAUAACAAAGCCGAAAGUCAAGAGCGGAAACAAAAACGACAGCGGAAAAUUUUCAAGACUCAAACCUAAUAAUUAUUAAAUACAAUUCAACUUAUAACCAAAUUAUUAUAAGUCCACACACUAAAGGACUAUUUUCCUGAGUUCCUAACUCUAAUUUAUUAUGUUUGACUUUCAUCAAUAACAACAACAAAAAUCACAAGGCAUACUAAAAGGCAAGAAAAAACACAGCUUAAGGAGACAAAGCAAGCAUCAUAACAUGACUGAGGUAUGAUACACCUGUAGGAGUUAUUAGAUAGGGAAUAUAAUUAAUAUAGUAAACGCUUUAAUGAAUAAAGUAGGCAUCAUGCAAAAACA
rnacentral:lncRNA from 13 species